rnacentral:rRNA from 1 species
ACGAGCAGUGGGGAAGGUAAUUAGUCACAAUAGGGCGGCGAAGACCUCGAUGCAGCCACUGCCGCCGUGUAUGAAGAAAGGCCUUCGGGUUGUAAAGUACUUUCAGUCGUGAGGAAGGUGUUAAGGUUAAUAACCUUAGCAAUUGACGUUAGCGACAGAAGAAGCACCGGCUAACUCCGUGCCAGCAGCCGCGGUAAUACGGAGGGUGCGAGCGUUAAUCGGAAUUACUGGGCGUAAAGGGCACGCAGGCGGUUAAUUAAGUUGGAUGUGAAAUCCCCGGGCUUAACCUGGGAAUGGCAUUCAAGACUGGUUAGCUAGAGUCUUGUAGAGGGGGUAGAAUUCCAUGUGUAGCGGUGAAAUGCGUAGAGAUGUGGAGGAAUACCGGUGGCGAAGGCGGCCCCUGGACAAAGACUGACGCUCAUGUGCGAAAGCGUGGGGAGCAAAACAGGGAUUAGA